CUUGGGUCAUUUAGAGGAAGUAAAAGUCGUAACAAGGUCUCCGUUGGUGAACCAGCGGAGGGAUCAUUACCGAGUUUUCAACUCCCAAACCCUUUUGUGAACAUACCUAUCGUUGCUUCGGCGGACUCGCCCCAGCGUCCGGCCGGCCCCGCGCCGGCCGCGGCCUGGAUCCAGGCGGCCGCCGGAGACCCCCAAACUCUGUAUUCUCAGUAUCUUCUGAAUCCGCCGCAAGGCAAAACAAAUGAAUCAAAACUUUCAACAACGGAUCUCUUGGUUCUGGCAUCGAUGAAGAACGCAGCGAAAUGCGAUAAGUAAUGUGAAUUGCAGAAUUCAGUGAAUCAUCGAAUCUUUGAACGCACAUUGCGCCCGCCAGCAUUCUGGCGGGCAUGCCUGUUCGAGCGUCAUUUCAACCCUCGACUUCCCUUUGGGGAAAUCGGCGUUGGGGACCGGCCGUAUACCGCCGGCCCCGAAAUGAAGUGGCGGCCCGUCCGCGGCGACCUCUGCGUAGUAAUCCAACUCGCACCGGAACCCCGACGUGGCCACGCCGUAAAACCCCCGACUUCUGAACGUUGACCUCGGAUCAGGUAGGAAUACCCGCUGAACUUAAGCAUAUCAAUAAGCGGAGGA
rnacentral:rRNA from 1 species